GUUCCAUCGACACCAGCUGAACCGAACCCCGGUACUCCAUUAAGGUUCUGUCCAGUUCUGUGGUCUUGUCCGGCUCGGAGGUUCUGUUCGGUUCUAAGGUUCUGUCCAGUUCUGUCCGGUUCUAAGGUUCUGUUCGGUUCUAAGGUUCUGUCCAGUUCUAAGGUUCUGUUCGGUUCUGAGGUUCUGUUCGGUUCUGAGGUUCUGUCCGGUUCUGUCUGUUCUAAGGUUCAGUUCGGUUCUAAGGUUCUGUCCGGUUCUGUCUGUUCUAAGGUUCUGUCCAGUUCUAAGGUUCUGUUCGGUUCUGAGGUUCUGUCCGGUUCUGUCUGUUCUAAGGUUCUGUCCGGUUCUAAGGUUUUGUACGGUUCUGUUCGGUUCUAAGGUUCUGUUCGGUUCUAAGGUUCUGUUCGGUUCUAAGGUUCUGUCCGGUUCUGUCUUUUCUAAGGUUCUGUUCGGUUCUAAGGUUCUGUCCGGUUCUGAGGUCCAGUACUGCGGUUCUGGUACUUGUAGCAGUCGUUGUUGAAGCGGUUGUAGCUUCCCAGUGCGGUCAGCGCUCCCAGUCCGAUGGCGUAGGAGAAGAAG